CGAAAGCCUGACGGAGCAACGCCGCGUGGGGGAAGAAGGUUCUUGGAUUGUAAACCCCUUUUCUCAGGGAAGAAGUUCUGACGGUACCUGAGGAAUCAGCCUCGGCUAACUCCGUGCCAGCAGCCGCGGUAAUACGGAGGAGGCAAGCGUUAUCCGGAAUCAUUGGGCGUAAAGCGUCCGCAGGGGGCUCAUCAAGUCUGCUGUUAAAGGUCGGAGCUCAACUCCGGUUCGGCAGUGGAAACUGGUGAGCUAGAGGGCGACAGGGGUAGAGGGAAUUCCCAGUGUAGCGGUGAAAUGCGUAGAGAUUGGGAAGAACACCGGUGGCGAAAGCGCUCUACUGGGUCGCGCCUGACCCUCAGGGACGAAAGCUAAGGUAGCG
rnacentral:rRNA from 1 species